GAUGAACGCUGGCGGCGUGCCUAAUACAUGCAAGUCGAGCGAACAGAUGAGGAGCUUGCUCCUCUGACGUUAGCGGCGGACGGGUGAGUAACACGUGGAUAACCUACCUAUAAGACUGGGAUAACUUCGGGAAACCGGAGCUAAUACCGGAUAAUAUAUUGAACCGCAUGGUUCAAUAGUGAAAGACGGUUUUGCUGUCACUUAUAGAUGGAUCCGCGCCGCAUUAGCUAGUUGGUAAGGUAACGGCUUACCAAGGCAACGAUGCGUAGCCGACCUGAGAGGGUGAUCGGCCACACUGGAACUGAGACACGGUCCAGACUCCUACGGGAGGCAGCAGUAGGGAAUCUUCCGCAAUGGGCGAAAGCCUGACGGAGCAACGCCGCGUGAGUGAUGAAGGUCUUCGGAUCGUAAAACUCUGUUAUUAGGGAAGAACAAAUGUGUAAGUAACUCUGCACGUCUUGACGGUACCUAAUCAGAAAGCCCCGGCUAACUACGUG
rnacentral:rRNA from 1 species